rnacentral:rRNA from 1 species
GACGAACGCUGGCGGCGUGCCUAAUACAUGCAAGUCGAACGAGAGCGACCGGUGCUUGCACUGGUCAAUCUAGUGGCGAACGGGUGAGUAACACGUGGGUAACCUGCCCAUCAGAGGGGGAUAACAUCCGGAAACGGAUGCUAAAACCGCAUAGGUCUUCGAACCGCAUGGUUUGAAGAGGAAAAGAGGCGCAAGCUUCUGCUGAUGGAUGGACCCGCGGUGCAUUAGCCAGUUGGUGAGGUAACGGCUCACCAAGGCCGUGAUGCAUAGCCGACCUGAGAGGGUGAUCGGCCACAUUGGGACUGAGACACGGCCCAAACUCCUACGGGAGGCAGCAGUAGGGAAUCUUCCGCAAUGGACGCAAGUCUGACGGAGCAACGCCGCGUGAGUGAAGAAGGUUUUCGGAUCGUAAAACUCUGUUGUUAGAGAAGAACAAGUGCUAGAGUAACUGUUAGCGCCUUGACGGUAGCUAACCAGAAAGCCACGGCUAACUACGUG